rnacentral:tRNA from 1 species
GAGAUACUAGUAAAAUAUGUAUUAUACUGCUUUGUCGAUGCAGAGUUGUAGGCUACUGCCCUGCGUAUCUCU